CUCUGAUUAGGCGGAGAAGAAGGAGCUCUCUUCUCACCAUGCGUUCUGACCGAUGUCUCUGCUGCCAGAAGCCACACCUUCAGUCAGAAAAGCUGAUCCUCCCAGGGGAAGACCCUUGAAGCCAGGCCUUGGAUUUUCUCAAGAGUAGACUGCCUGAGAUGCCCUCUGCAAAACAUGAUGCUCCAGUCUUCAGAGGGUGUAAAUCCCAAUCCACAGAAUGGUUUUUGCCGUCACUGAGUAGCUGAGCCCUUGACCACAGAAAGGACUUUCACAACACACAAUGGAUUUAUCCAAAGCAAGCAGUGUCUGAGCCCACUGCCUACAAUUUGAUCUUGU